GGUCAAGUGAAGAAGCGCAUACGGUGGAUGCCUUGGCAGUCAGAGGCGAUGAAAGACGUGGUAGCCUGCGAAAAGCUUCGGGGAGUCGGCAAACAGACUUUGAUCCGGAGAUCUCUGAAUGGGGGAACCCACCUAGGAUAACCUAGGUAUCUUGUACUGAAUCCAUAGGUGCAAGAGGCGAACCAGGGGAACUGAAACAUCUAAGUACCCUGAGGAAAAGAAAUCAACCGAGAUUCCCUUAGUAGUGGCGAGCGAACGGGGAUUAGCCCUUAAGCUUCAUUGAUUUUAGCGGAACGCUCUGGAAAGUGCGGCCAUAGUGGGUGAUAGCCCCGUACGCGAAAGGAUCUUUGAAGUGAAAUCGAGUAGGACGGAGCACGAGAAACUUUGUCUGAACAUGGGGGGACCAUCCUCCAAGGCUAAAUACUACUGACUGACCGAUAGUGAACCAGUACCGUGAGGGAAAGGCGAAAAGAACCCCGGAGAGGGGAGUGAAAUAGAACCUGAAACCGUAUGCGUACAAGCAGUGGGAGCCUACUUGUUAGGUGACUGCGUACCUUUUGUAUAAUGGGUCAGCGACUUAUAUUCAGUGGCAAGCUUAACCGUAUAGGGUAGGCGUAGCGAAAGCGAGUCUUAAUAGGGCGUUUAGUCGCUGGGUAUAGACCCGAAACCGGGCGAUCUAUCCAUGAGCAGGUUGAAGGUUAGGUAACACUGACUGGAGGACCGAACCCACUCCCGUUGAAAAGGUAGGGGAUGACUUGUGGAUCGGAGUGAAAGGCUAAUCAAGCUCGGAGAUAGCUGGUUCUCCUCGAAAGCUAUUUAGGUAGCGCCUCAUGUAUCACUCUGGGGGGUAG
rnacentral:rRNA from 1 species